rnacentral:rRNA from 1 species
UUCCGGUUGAUCCUGCCGGAGGCCAUUGCUAUCGGAGUCCGAUUUAGCCAUGCUAGUUGUGCGGGUUUAGACCCGCAGCGGAAAGCUCAGUAACACGUGGCCAAACUACCCUGUGGAUGGGAACAAUCUCGGGAAACUGAGGCUAAUUCCCAAUAACGCUCCACCCCUGGAACGGGCGGAGCUGGAAACGCUACGGCGCCACAGGAUGUGGCUGCGGUCGAUUAGGUAGACGGUGGGGUAACGGCCCACCGUGCCAAUAAUCGGUACGGGUUGUGAGAGCAAGAGCCCGGAGACGGAAUCUGAGACAAGAUUCCGGGCCCUACGGGGCGCAGCAGGCGCGAAACCUUUACACUGUACGCAAGUGCGAUAAGGGGACUCCGAGUGUGAAGGCAUAGAGCCUUCACUUUUGUACACCGUAAGGUGGUGUACGAAUAAGGGCUGGGCAAGACCGGUGCCAGCCGCCGCGGUAAUACCGGCAGCCCGAGUGAUGGCCGAUAUUAUUGGGCCUAAAGCGUCCGUAGCUGGCCGGACAAGUCCGUUGGGAAAUCUGUUCGCUUAACGAGCAGGCGUCCAGCGGAAACUGUUCGGCUUGGGACCGGAAGACCUGAGGGGUACGUCCGGGGUAGGAGUGAAAUCCUGUAAUCCUGGACGGACCACCGGUGGCGAAAGCGCCUCAGGAGAACGGAUCCGACAGUGAGGGACGAAAGCUAGGGUCUCGAACCGGAUUAGAUACCCGGGUAGUCCUAGCUGUAAACGAUGCCCGCUAGGUGUGGCGCAGGCUACGAGCCUGCGCUGUGCCGUAGGGAAGCCGAGAAGCGGGCCGCCUGGGAAGUACGUCUGCAAGGAUGAAACUUAAAGGAAUUGGCGGGGGAGCACUACAACCGGAGGAGCCUGCGGUUUAAUUGGAUUCAACGCCGG